ACGCUCGACACCUACGGGAGGCAGCAGUGGGGAAUAUUGGGCAAUGGGGGCAACCCUGACCCAGCAACGCCGCGUGAAGGAAGAAGGCUUUCGGGUUGUAAACUUCUUUGACAAGGGACGAAAUAAAUGACGGUACCUUGAAAACAAAGCCACGGCUAACUACGUGUCAGCAGCCGCGGUAAUCUGAGCGGGCUGGCAAGGC
rnacentral:rRNA from 1 species